UUUCUCCUCCCCCUUUCCUCGGCUGGGCUGACAGAUCAGAGUGAGAGGCGCUGGCAAUGGACUAGGAAGCUCGGCUGCCGCUGCUACUGCUCCCCCCUGGGCUCCGGCGAGAGCCUUUCCCUGUCAAGCAAGAGGGGUGAGGAUCAUAUUUUUAUUUUGGAAACUAAAAAGUGCUCCCAGGGUCGGUGAUUAUUAAGGGGAAAUCCCUGAAUAUACUCUCCAGCCAAGAAGGCAGGGCUGCCGGGGCUGCACAAGAAGAGGCAGCAGCCUCCUACAGCACCACUACAGGCACUGCGAGGACAUAACACCAGAGAGCAGCUCCUCUGCCCUCCGAAACGACAACUUUCCUACCAUCUUGGAGGCAGAGGAAAGGGGGGCCGGGGGGAAAAGUGCACCCGCUCCCGAUAAAGUACAAAUUUCUACUUCUCCUCUCUGGAAAAAAAUCCACACCGGCCGUCUACACCGGCGCCUGGGGGAAAAAGCGGGGAAGAAACUGGGGGUGCUUGAGCACCGUUUGCAUUUGCACCAGGGGGAAAAAUGUUUCUGCAUCUUCUGAUGAAAAGAAAUCUUUACAAGACACAGGUUUUCCGCUGUUCCAGCUUUGGCCACUGGGAGCUCUUUCAGUUUCUAGAAGCUGCCUGCGUUCCUUGAUUCACGGUCCCUUUCUGCAUCUGUGAUGCCAACAGCAGACUGUCUUCCCAUCUCUUCCGACUAUUGUCCUCUCGUCUUGCUCUUAGUAGGAUCUUUCUGCUUAGACUGUGCCCACCCAGAUAAUCCAGAAUAAUCUCCCCAUCUCGAGAUCCUUAACUUAAUCACAUCUACAAAAUCCCCUUUGCCAUCUAAGGUAACAUCCACAAGUUCAGGGAUUUAGGACAAGGACAUAUUUGGUGGCCAUUAUUUGCCUGCCACAUGAAUAUAUUUGGACUAAUGGGACCAUCAGUCUAUAUAAAUCAGGCAAAAGGAGAAUAUCCCUUUAAUAUCAGGUCCUGUUUUACUUCUUCUUAGUCCAGUAAGUCAUUUUUUUUAAAUUGCAAUAUAUUUGCACAUUUGUCUAAAUCCUUAUAAAAGUAGAUGUCAUUAAUCCUCCACUGGUAGGACAUUGAUUUUGAUUUGUCCUCCAGCAGCAGUGAAGAACUCCUGUUCAUCCAUCUGUCUCUCCUCGUCUUUUACUUGUUUGUCACCAACAGCACAGAUUUUACAGGAUCAUAGCCAGUUAUAAAAGCAAUGAUUAUAGUUUCCCAUGAUGCAUUAUCUUGUGGUCCAAAAAACUCGGUUUAUAUAACCUGUAUGCACAUUAUUGGUUGGGAAUUACAUUGCCAAAGCUAAAUGAAAAAAAUUAUAUGUUCUCUUCAUACUCUUGCCUGUAACCGUGCAUUUACUUUUUAUUCAUUUAUUUAUUGAGCAAAUGCUUAUUGAAUAUUUGACUGUGCAAGACACUGCAAUAGAUGUUAGUGACAACCAGUAAGAUAUAAUAAAUCAUGAUUCAGAAUA